rnacentral:rRNA from 1 species
AGAUUGAACGCUGGCGGCGUGCCUAACACAUGCAAGUCGAGCGGUAACAGGUGUAGCAAUACAUGCUGACGAGCGGCGAACGGGUGAGUAAUGCUUUGGAAUCUUCCCAGUAGUGGGGAAUAACCAGUCGAAAGAUUGGCUAAUACCGCAUACGUCUGUAAAGGGAAAGCGGGGGCUCGUAAGACCUCGCGCUAUUGGAUGAGCCAAAGUCGGAUUAGCUUGUUGGUGGGUAAUGGCCUACCAAGGCGACAAUCCGUAGCUGGUCUGAGAGGACGACCAGCCACACCGGAACUGAGACACGGUCCGGACUCCUACGGGAGGCAGCAGUGGGGAAUAUUGGACAAUGGGGGAAACCCUGAUCCAGCGACGCCGCGUGUGUGAAGAAGGCCUGCGGGUUGUAAAGCACUUUUAGUGGGGACAAAAGCUACGGAUUAAUACUCUGUGGUCUUGAUUUAACCCAAAGAAAAGCACCGGCUAACUCUGCGCCAGAAGCCGCGGU